rnacentral:rRNA from 1 species
CGAGGACGAACGCUGGCGGCGUGCCUAACACGUGCAAGUCGAGCGAGGAGAUCCUCGGGAUGAUCCUAGCGGCGGACGGGUGAGUAACACGUGGGCAACCUGCCUCAUAGAGAGGAAUAGCCUUCCGAAAGGGAGAUUAAUACCUCAUAACAUUGCAGUUUCGCAUGGAACAGCAAUUAAAGGAGCAAUCCGCUAUGAGAUGGGCCCGCGGCGCAUUAGCUAGUUGGUGAGGUAACGGCUCACCAAGGCGACGAUGCGUAGCCGACCUGAGAGGGUGAUCGGCCACAUUGGGACUGAGACACGGCCCAGACUCCUACGGGAGGCAGCAGUGGGGAAUAUUGCACAAUGGGGGAAACCCUGAUGCAAGCAACGCCGCGUGAGUGAUGACGGCCUUCGGGUUGUAAAGCUCUGUCUUCAGGGACGAUAAUGACGGUACCUGAGGAGGAAGCCACGGCUAACUACGUGCCAGCCGCUGC